AUGGCAUGUGGGCUGAGCUGGCUUCUCCUAGUGGCUGUGUUAGGAGGGGUCCAGUGUGAAGUGCAGCUGCUGGAGUCUGGGGGAGACUUGGUGCAGCCUGGGGGGUCCCUGACACUCUCCUGUGCAGUCUCUGGAUUCACCUUUGGCAACUAUGGGAUGAGCUGGGUCCGUCAGGCUCCAGGGAAGGGCCUAGAGUGGGUCUCAAGCAUAAGUAGUAAAAGUAGUUAUAUAUACUAUGCCGACUCUGUGAAGGGCCGAUUCACCAUCUCCAGAGACAACAGCAAGAACACGCUUUCUCUGCAAAUGAACAACUUGAGGGAGGAGGACACGGCCCUGUACUACUGUGCAAGACACAGUGAUGGAAAGGCCCUUUGGGCCCAGACACAAACCACCUGCAGAAGGAAGCAGGCUGAGCUUCAGGGGUGCAGGCCCUCAGGAGACUCUGAGGGCUCUCCCCUGAGGAAACGUUGUUCAUGA